rnacentral:lncRNA from 1 species
AGGGUGCCAUAACCCCCUCCCGCUUUCCAUUGAUAAGUAGCGUUGCAAUAGUUGCAAUAGGCAAUGAACCUCUCGGGAGCAUUUGGACCAUCAUUUGGAUUUUUAGGAGCGGGUUCCCUCCUAAAAUGUUUUGUGAAAAUGUUAGAAGAAAGUAAUUUACUCUUACCCUUACCCUUACCUCUAGUGGGAGGGAUUUCCUCCUCAAAGUUGUGACGUGCUUGCUCGGCUUCCUCCUCCGCCUCUUCGUUACGCAAAGUACGUGCAUAUUCUUCAUCCUCCGCUUCUUGAAGUUGUCUAGCAUAUGCUUCACCCGCCAAAUCGGCAGCCUCCCGGCGUGAGCCGAAAGGUCCUCGUUCAACUGGCACUUUCACCCUUCUCCUAGAGGAUGAUGAUGGAACUUGAACAUUUUGAGUAAACUCGUGAGAAGUGGGAGUGCUAUCAAUAUCUUCUUCGGGCUCGACAUUGAUAGACUUGCC